AGUCGAGGGGCAGCAUGGUCUUAGCUUGCUAAGGCUGAUGGCGACCGGCGCACGGGUGAGUAACACAUAUCCAACCUGCCGUCUACUCUUGGCCAGCCUUCUGAAAGGAAGAUUAAUCCAGGAUGGGAUCAUGAGUUCACAUGUCCGCAUGAUUAAAGGUAUUUUCCGGUAGACGAUGGGGAUGCGUUCCAUUAGAUAGUAGGCGGGGUAACGGCCCACCUAGUCAACGAUGGAUAGGAGUUCUGAGAGGAAGGUCCCCCACAUUGGAACUGAGACACGGUCCAAACUCCUACGGGAGGCAGCAGUGGGGAAUAUUGGUCAAUGGGCGAUGGCCUGAACCAGCCAAGUAGCGUGAAGGAUGACUGCCCUAUGGGUUGUAAACUUCUUUUAUAAAGGAAUAAAGUCGGGUAUGCAUACCCGUUUGCAUGUACUUUAUGAAUAAGGAUCGGCUAACUCCGUGCCAGCAGCCGCGGUAAUACGGAGGAUCCGAGCGUUAUCCGGAUUUAUUGGGUUUAAAGGGAGCGUAGAUGGAUGUUUAAGUCAGUUGUGAAAGUUUGCGGCUCAACCGUAAAAUUGCAGUUGAUACUGGAUGUCUUGAGUGCAGUUGAGGCAGGCGGAAUUCGUGGUGUAGCGGUG
rnacentral:rRNA from 1 species